UAAUACUCCAUAGAUUAGAGACACUGGAAUGUUCUUUAGUCGAAAGUUCUGGCGCCUUAGGAUGGAUCUGCGGUCGAUUAGGUUGUUGUUGGGUUAACGGCCCAACAAGCCUGUAAUCGAUACGGGUUGUGGGAGCAAGAGCCCGGAGAUGGAAUCUGAGACACGAUUCCAGGCCCUACGGGGCGCAGCAGGCGCGAAAACUGUACAAUGCAGGAAACUGUGAUAAGGGAACUCCGAGUGCCCGUAUACGCGGGCUGUCCAGGUGUUUAAAAAUCAUCUGAAGAAAGGGCCGGGCAAGACCGGUGCCAGCCGCCGCGGUAAUACCGGCGGCUCGAGUGGUGGCCACUAUUAUUGGGCUUAAAGCGUCCGUAGCUGGACCGAUAAGUCUCUUGGGAAAUCCGCCGGCUCAACCGGCGGGCGUCUAAGGGAUACUGUUAGUCUAGGGACCGGGAGAGGUGAGAGGUACUCCGGGGGUAGGAGUGAAAUCCUGUAAUCCCCGGGGGACCACCGAUGGCGAAGGCAUCUCACCAGAACGGCUCCGACAGUGAGGGACGAAAGCUGGGGGAGCGAACCGGAUUAGAUACCCGGGUAGUCCCAGCCGUAAACUAUGCGCGUUAGGUGUAC
rnacentral:rRNA from 1 species